GGUUAAGUGACUAAGCGUACAUGGUGGAUGCCUUGGCAGUCAGAGGCGAUGAAGGACGUACUAACCUGCGAUAAGCCGUGAGCAGUCGGUAAGAGACAUUACGACUCACGGAUUUCCGAAUGGGGAAACCCACUUAGCAUAAGCUAGGUAUCGCUACGUGAAUACAUAGCGUAGCGAGGCGAACCGGGAGAACUGAAACAUCUAAGUACCCCGAGGAAAAGAAAUCAACCGAGAUUCCCUCAGUAGCGGCGAGCGAACGGGGAUUAGCCCUUAAGCAUCUUGGAAGUUAGUGGAACGGUCCUGGAAAGGCCGGCGAUACAGGGUGAUAGCCCCGUACACGAAAACAACCUUGAUGUGAAAUCGAGUAGGGCGGGACACGUGACAUCCUGUCUGAAUAUGGGGGGACCAUCCUCCAAGGCUAAAUACUCCUGACUGACCGAUAGUGAACCAGUACCGUGAGGGAAAGGCGAAAAGAACCCCUGUGAGGGGAGUGAAAUAGAACCUGAAACCGUGUACGUACAAGCAGUGGGAGCCCUUCGGGGUGACUGCGUACCUUUUGUAUAAUGGGUCAGCGACUUACAUUUUGUAGCGAGGUUAACCGUAUAGGGGAGCCGUAGGGAAACCGAGUCUUAACUGGGCGUCUAGUUGCAAGGUGUAGACCC
rnacentral:rRNA from 1 species